rnacentral:rRNA from 1 species
GACGAACGCUGGCGGCGUGCUUAACACAUGCAAGUCGAACGGUAAGGCCCUUCGGGGUACACGAGUGGCGAACGGGUGAGUAACACGUGGGUGAUCUGCCCUGCACUUCGGGAUAAGCCUGGGAAUCUGGGUCUAAUACCGGAUAGGACCCUGGGAUGCAUGUCCUGGGGUGGAAAGCUUUUGCGGGGUGGGAUGGGCCCGCGGCCUAUCAGCUUGUUGGUGGGGUGAUGGCCUACCAAGGCGACGACGGGUAGCCGGCCGGAGAGGGUGACCGGCCACACUGGGACUGAGAUACGGCCCAGACUCCUACGGGAGGCAGCAGUGGGGAACAUUGCACAAUGGGCGCAAGCCUGAUGCAGCGACGCCGCGUGAGGGAUGACGGCCUUCGGGUUGUAAACCUCUUUCAGCACCGACGAAGCGCAAGUGACGGUAGGUGCAGAAGAAGGACCGGCCAACUACGUGCCAGCCGCCGCAGUAA